rnacentral:rRNA from 1 species
UAGGGAAUCUUCCGCAAUGGACGCAAGUCUGACGGAGCAACGCCGCGUGAGUGAAGAAGGAUUUCGGUUCGUAAAACUCUGUUGUUAGAGAAGAACAGCGCAUAGAGAAACUGUUAUGCGUGUGACGGUAUCUAACCAGAAAGCCACGGCUAACUACGUGCCAGCAGCCGCGGUAAUACGUAGGUCCCGAGCGUUGUCCGGAUUUAUUGGGCGUAAAGCGAGCGCAGGCGGUUAGAAAAGUCUGAAGUGAAAGGCAGUGGCUCAACCAUUGUAGGCUUUGGAAACUGUUUAACUUGAGUGCAGAAGGGGAGAGUGGAAUUCCAUGUGUAGCGGUGAAAUGCGUAGAUAUAUGGAGGAACACCGGUGGCGAAAGCGGCUCUCUGGUCUGUAACUGACGCUGAGGCUCGAAAGCGUGGGGAGCGAACAGG